rnacentral:rRNA from 1 species
UGCCAGUCGAACGACCCGGACUAUGGCGGGGAGUGGCAGACUGCUCAGUAACACGUAGCUAACCUACCCUCGGGACGGGGAUAACCCCGGGAAACUGGGGCCAAUACCCGAUAGGUAUGGAUUCCUGGAAUGGUGCCAUGCCUAAACGUAAGCACAUCCAUGUUUGUGUGCACGCCCGAGGAUGGGGCUGCGGCCGAUCAGGCAGUUGGUGAGGUAACGGCUCACCAAACCUUUGACCGGUACGGGCCAUGAGAGUGGUAGCCCGGAGAUGGGCACUGGGACAAGGGCCCAGGCCCUACGGGGCGCAGCAGGCGCGAAACCUCCACAAUUCACGCAAGUGAGAUGGGGUUACCUCGAGUGCCAUCUGAAGAAGGUGGCUUUUCCAUGGUGUAAUGAGCCGUGGGAAUAAGGGGGGGGCAAGACUGGUGUCAGCCGCCGCGGUAACACCAGCCCCCCGAGUGGUGGGGAUGAUUAUUUGGCCUAAAGCGUCCGUAGCCAGCUCAGUAAAUCUCUCGUUAAAUCCAGCGUCCUAAGCGUUGGGCUGCGAGGGUAACUGCCGAACUAGAGGGUGGGAGAGGUCAGCGGUAUUUCUGGGGUAGGGGCGAAAUCCAUUGAUCCCAGGAGGACCACCAGUGGCGAAGGCUGCUGACUAGAACACGCCUGACGGUGAGGGACGAAAGCUGGGGUAGCGAAUCGGAUUAGAUACCCGAGUAGUCCCAGCCGUAAACGAUGCA